CCAGACUCCUACGGGAGGCAGCAGUAGGGAAUCUUCGGCAAUGGACGAAAGUCUGACCGAGCAACGCCGCGUGAGUGAAGAAGGUUUUCGGAUCGUAAAACUCUGUUGGUAGAGAAGAACGUUGGUGAGAGUGGAAAGCUCAUCAAGUGACGGUAACUACCCAGAAAGGGACGGCUAACUACGUGCCAGCAGCCGCGGUAAUACGUAGGUCCCGAGCGUUGUCCGGAUUUAUUGGGCGUAAAGCGAGCGCAGGUGGUUUAUUAAGUCUGGUGUAAAAGGCAGUGGCUCAACCAUUGUAUGCAUUGGAAACUGGUAGACUUGAGUGCAGGAGAGGAGAGUGGAAUUCCAUGUGUAGCGGUGAAAUGCGUAGAUAUAUGGAGGAACACCGGUGGCGAAAGCGGCUCUCUGGCCUGUAACUGACACUGAGGCUCGAAAGCGUGGGGAGCAAACAGGAUUAGAUACCCUGGUAGUCCACGCCGUAAACGAUGAGUGCUAGAUGUAGGGAACUAUAAGUUCUCUGUAUCGCAGCUAACGCAAUAAGCACUCCGCCUGGGGAGUACGACCGCAAGGUUGAAACUCAAAGGAAUUGACGGGGGCCCGCACAAG
rnacentral:rRNA from 1 species